GAGCGCGCCGGGGGAAAAUGGCGGAUGACAAGGUGAGUCCGUGGGAGCGUGGGGCACACCGGAGCAGGGGUAUUUUUCUCUCUCCCUCGCGCCCCCCAGAGAGAUCAUUCGGGGACUCGAACCCGUUGUCUCAACUUUGCAAACUCCAGCCCCAAGGAAAGAGUUGUAAGCUAGGAGUCCAGGACGCCUGCCUUCUGACAUUUAAAUUUGCUGUGUGGUCUUGGGGGAAUUACUUCCCCUCUCUGGGCCUCAGUUUCCUCGUUUGUAAAGUGAGGCUGGCCUGCCGAACCUCCAGGACCACUUCCUUUCCAGGUAUUCCCUCUCUGCAGGAGGAUUUGAGUGGGAAGAAACGGCCAGUCAGGUGCAGUGAGUCAGCCCCACCUCCCUGACCUCCAUCCAUCUUCUUAGAAGGCAAAGGCGUGGGGAGGGGAAACGGCCGGCGAUCCCCCGCCUGGCAGUAACUUGUGUCCCCGUUCCUUGGCCCGGGUUAAGACUUACGGAUGCGAUGGUAGUGAGUCGCUGAGAAAUAGGAAUUAAGCGUUUCUCCUCCCCCACCCUCUUGUCAACAUCGUGGCUCGUGCCCGAGCCGGCACUUGGAUGCAGUGGCAUGGGGGGCAAGGCAGCCGUGUCCAUCAGCCCUAGGAAAACUUGGAAAGAUUCUCAGGCUUGGAAGGGCCCUCCCGUUCUUGAGCCGGCCCCUGACAAGCAGACAGCCCCCGCCUCCCCUGAAGACGCGUGGUAGUGGUGGUGGAGGGGCGCGCCCCGAUCCCCCGAAGCUGCCUCUUAUUUCCCUUUGGGCUGUUCGUGUUAGGAGGUUUUUAGACUCCCAGGGGAGUCGACUCAACCUCACCGCGCGUCUUUCCCUGUUCCAAGCGUUGGGGAAGCGCUCGGCCUUAGGCCAGGGAUAGAGGCAUCCAACACCUUCCGUUUGAUCAGAUCCCUAGAUCCUGCUGUUCCAAGGAAUCCAAAAUUCCUCAUGCUCCUAAGUGUCACGUUCUCUCUCAGCUCUGGGGAGAAAUUUCUAAAAUUUCAGAUUCAGAGCUGAAGAGUUUGGGUAAGAAAUAAUUCUGUUUUAUCUAAUUACUAAAUCGGGUUAUCCAUCUAUCUAUGGAAAGGCUUAAAUAUGAUUGAUUUGUAUGGAAAGUGCGAUCUCAUCAUUUCAAAAGGGAAUCCUUUGGAGAUAAAGGUUUGAGGCUCCGGCCUGUGGGACAUUCCUUUUGACUUGUGAUAACAUUUGGAGCUUCCAAUGCUAGGCUAAGGUGAGGAUUGUGAGAAAAGGAUGCUGGAAGUGGAAAUACUCCUUGCCUUGGAAAGCAAAGGAAGCAUGCUGGGAAAAUCACGAUUGACUGUUUUUUACUUCUCCCUGCUUCCCCUUAAGCCUUGAUAGCCAUUGAAGAGGGGUAGGGGGACAGGGUACAGAAGACUCAGACUGUCCUGUAGAAAGCUUCUCUCCUACCCUAGGACUCGAUGCCAAAGGUGAAAGACCUGGCUUUCCUAAAGAAUCAGCUGGAACAUCUACAGCGGCGACUAGAGGAGGAGGUCAAGACAGGUGUGGAACAGGAAGGCUCGUUCCUGUCAUCUCCUUUUCUCAAGGGCUUCCUGGCUGGCUAUGUUGUAGCCAAGUUAAGAGCAUCUGCAGUGAUGGGCUUCGCAGUUGGUGUCUGCACCGGUGUCUAUGCAGCACAGUCCUAUGCAGUCCCCAAUGUCGAGAAGACCUUGCAAGAUUACCUCCGAGCCCUUCGUAAGGGACCUGACUAGUGCGCCCUAGACGGUCCUCCCUCCAGGCCUCCCCAGGGCUGAGGAAGAGCCUUGGAAUCUGGAUUAGCAAAGAUAAGCAGCAAGUCUGACUGUAUAGGGUCAUCAAGGAUAGAGGCCAGCUGUCUUGCUCCAUCUCCGGCCUCCCCAGGCUUUUAGUUAUCUCUGCUACUCCAGACUGCAGAUGUUUUUUAUUGUCCUACAUAUAUCCUUCCUUCCUUCAAGCGCAUGCGGUUGGGGCGGGGGAGGCGCACGUGUGCAUAUCCCUGCUUUCCCCACUUCUAACUCUAAUCUGUGGCCUACCUAGUUCCUUGUCAGUUUGAUAAUGGGUCCUGAAUCCCCCUUCCUAGGAGCUGGCUCCAUGACUCAGUUUUACCAGACAGACUAUAGACUUUCCUUCCCACUCUUAAUCAUGCCAUUACUUACCUACCUAAAGGCCUAGGUUGGUAGAGUGGGGAUGAAUGUGGAAGAAGGGGGCAUACCGGGCAUAGGGCGCCCGAGCCAGGCCCGAUGGGUGCUUAUGCUCCUCUUGUCCACAACUAUGUAUGGUGCCCACGCCCCGCUGUUGGCCUUGUGUCGAAUUGAUGGCCGUGUCCCCUUCCGCCCCUCCUCGGCUGUGCUUUGGACAGAACUGACCAAAUUGCUGCUAUCGGCAUGCUCUUUGAUGGCCAGGCGGCAGCCAAAACUCUGGGACACUCCACCUUGGCGCCAGGCUGCCCCUUUUGCACUCUCUGCCCUGCUCUAUGGUGCCAACAACAACCUGGUCAUUCACCUGCAGCGGUACAUGGACCCCAGCACCUACCAAGUGAUGAGCAACCUCAAGAUCGGCAGCACAGCUCUUCUUUAUUGCCUCUGCCUGAACCGCCGUCUCUCUGCCAGGCAGGGGCUGGCGCUGCUGCUGCUGACUGGUGCCGGAGCCUGCUACGCUGCUGCAGGCCUCCAGGAUCCUCGGGGCCUCCUCCCAGCCCCUCCGGCCGCAGCCAUGCCCCUCCACGUGACCCCCCUGGGUCUGCUGCUGCUCUUGGUCUACUGCCUCAUCUCGGGCCUCUCCUCGGUCUACACUGAGCUGCUCAUGAAGAAGCAGCGCCUGCCCUUGGCCUUGCAGAACCUGUUCCUCUACUCCUUUGGGGUACUUAUGAACUUGGGGCUCUAUGUGGGAGGGGGGCCAGGCCCUGGGCUCCUAGAAGGUUUCUCAGCCUGGGCAGGGCUGGUGGUACUGAGCCAGGCCCUCAAUGGACUGCUCAUGUCGGCCAUCAUGAAGCAUGGGAGCAGCAUCACGCGUCUCUUUGUCGUCUCCUCCUCACUGAUCGUCAAUGCCGUGCUCUCAGCCGCCCUGCUUCACCUCCAGCUCACAGCCGCCUUCUUCCUGGCCCUCCUGCUUAUUGGUCUGGCUGUACAUCUCUACUAUGGAGGCCGGUAGAGCCAGAGAGCCCACCCUCUGGAACUGUUUUGCCCUCCAGUGCUAUUCAUGUAGGCUCCAUAUUACUGUGGUCAACAUUGUCCUUUCCAGUGACCAAGGACUCACCUCUUGAAAAAAGGUGCUUCUCUCCUUCCUUGAUGGUCUUGGAAGGCCCAUCAAGAUGGGGGAUAUGAGAGGUUAUCCUUAGGGGUGGUUCCAGUAUGUACUAGUCUCAGAUCGUAGCCUCUUUCUAGCCUAUCUGCUGCCCUCUACGUGACUGCACUUCUUCCUUCCCACGUAGGUUUAGCCUGCUAUUUCCUCAUCCUGUUCCCCGACAGAAUCCCUGAUAGAAGUGCCUUUGAGAGGAGAGAGCUGCAGUCAGGCUGGGGCAGCCCCUGGUAGGAGAUGAAGGGAGCCCAUGGAGGCCUGAAGCAAAAUUGAGUUUUUGCCAAGGAAACACCAUCAUUGGCUCAAGUUUGUCCCCCCAGAUUCUGAUAACUCCUUUCUGUUCCCAUCAUUGUGUAGAGCAGAGGGAAAUCAUUUAGGGAUCCUGCCUCUUAUCAGCUGCUAUGUGGAAGGUCUGAGGCCUAGCUACUUUCCUGCUAUGUCAGUCCUGAUGUCCCAAUCCCCUCACUAUCCCUCCUCCUGUGGUAAUUUAAACUCCAACCUGGAUCUCUGUCUAGCCUAGUAACUGGCUUGUUCUGUUUCUCCUUUAUUCUCUCAGACCCAACAGCAAUACACCAGAAAGCCAAAAUGUAGGCAACUUUGACCUCCUCCUGUGUCCCAUCCCAACCUUUCUGGAAUGUUCUGCCAGUGCCGGGGUCCUUGUUGCCUGGCUGUUUUACCAGUCACAUGUAUCUCUCCCCACCACUGCCCCCCAAAAGCUCCAGCAUUUACUGGGAGAAACUCAACUGCUUCCCUCUGUGCUGCUGCUCUUCCAGAAUCAGGUCUGAGUCUCCUUAAUCAAACCAGGGAUGAGCCUUAUGGGUUUACAAGAAAUUCUGCUUGCCCUCUCUUAUGGCCCCUACCUUUUGUUGCAGUCUGGAGUUCUCUCAUCAGCUCUAUUGCUUUACACUCCUGGACCCUGCUCCUGCCAGGAAGUAUUCUGUUCUUAGACCCUCAAUCUGGCCACCUUUCCCAGGAUAUACCCUUAAAUUCCUAGUAAGAGGGAGACUCCUUUACAGGAGUAACUUAGAUUAGGGCAUGUGAGAUUUUUCUAUAGCUCAAUCAGUGUCUCCUUAACUGCAUAAGCAAUAAGGUCUCAAUAAAGUGUUUCUGGGAGUAGGGAUUUCCCUACUAUCUGCCAUGUUCUGUGUCUUGUGUCCUCUAGAAACUGUCCCCACCCAUGGUUCUAAUUGAGCUUCUUGCUGCUGCUGAGUCGAGGAUCCUGGAGAGUCCCACACAAAGCUUAGGAGGGAACUGGGAAUAAAGAAACAAACUUCCAGCUAGGUGUCAGGAUCAGUAAAUAUCUGGUGAUCUGGUACCCAGAAGCAGCACUGAACCAGGUGCCAACAAAUAAAGAAGACUCGUAGGUAUGGUUGUCAGAAGCUUGUUUUUAAUUUGACUCCUGCCGAACAGGUAUGACUCUGGGGCCAGGUCUGUUCUGAAUACCUUUACUUUAAGGGAAAAGUGUCAGGACAGAUUGCCAGAGCUUAAACUUUUUUUCUCCUCUCUGUGAUUUCUGUUGGGAGACAUGGGACACAGAAUCAGUGAAGCCCUGCUGGAGGAUUAAGGCUGGCACCCCAAUCUCAUCUCCCCUGAUAGUAUUUCCCUAUAGUUGAGGACAGACUCUUGGAUUUAGAUUAGUAGAACAGUCCCUACUUCUAUUGCCAUUUGAACCCCACUUCCUACCUACACUGUUCCUCCUCAUAGUCCUCACCCUGCUGAAGUUGCUUGUUCUGGACUUGGAGUUGUUGGGUCUGUGUGGCCAGAGAGACAGCAUCCUCUAAGACUCUAGCCAGCAGGAUUCGGUGAUGGAACUCCCUGGCAUCAGCCUGCUCCUUCCACAGCCUCCGACAAGCCCGGAACACCUGUGCUUUUAAUGGAUAGGUUGAUGAUUGGAGGAAUUCAGCCAUCUGAAAAUCCUAACCCUGCCUGCCAAUAUAAGAUGUAGAAUGGGUAAA